rnacentral:rRNA from 1 species
UGGGGAAUAUUGCACAAUGGAGGGAACUCUGAUGCAGCGACGCCGCGUGAACGAAGAAGGCUUUCGAGUCGUAAAGUUCUUUUAUAUGGGAAGAUAAUGACGGUACCAUAAGAAAAAGCCCCGGCUAACUACGUGCCAGCAGCCGCGGUAAUACGUAGGGGGCUAGCGUUGUCCGGAAUCACUGGGCGUAAAGGGUUCGCAGGCGGAAAUGCAAGUCAGGUGUAAAAGGCAGUAGCUUAACUACUGUAAGCAUUUGAAACUGCAUAUCUUGAGAAGAGGAGAGGUAAGUGGAAUUUUUAGUGUAGCGGUGAAAUGCGUAGAUAUUAAAAAGAAUACCGGUGGCGAAGGCGACUUACUGGGCUAAUUCUGACGCUGAGGAACGAAAGCGUGGGUAGCAAACAGG